GACGAACGCUGGCGGCGUGCUUAACACAUGCAAGUCGAACGGAAAGGCCCUGCUUGCAGGGUACUCGAGUGGCGAACGGGUGAGUAACACGUGGGUGAUCUGCCCUGCACUUCGGGAUAAGCCUGGGAGACUGGGUCUAAUACCGGGUAGGAGCCAUCUUUAGUGUUAUGGUUGGAAAGUUUUUUCGGUGUAGGAUGGGCUCGCGGCCUAUUAGCUUGUUGGUGGGGUUAUGGCCUACCAAGGCGGCGACGGGUAGGCGGCCUGACAGGGUGGACGGCCACAAUGGGGCCGGGAUACGGCCCAGAACCCCACGGGGGGGAGGAGGUGGGAAUAAUGCACAAUGGGCGCAAGCCUGAUGCAGCGAAGCCGCCGUGGGGAUGACGGGCUUCGGGUUGUAAACCCCUUUCGCUAGGGACGAAGCUGUGUGUGACGGUACCUAGUUAAGAAGCACCGGCUAACUACGUG
rnacentral:rRNA from 1 species